UACGAAGGGGGCUAGCGUUGCUCGGAAUCACUGGGCGUAAAGGGUGCGUAGGCGGGUUUUUAAGUCAGGGGUGAAAUCCUGGAGCUCAACUCCAGAACUGCCUUUGAUACUGAAGAUCUUGAGUCCGGGAGAGGUGAGUGGAACUGCGAGUGUAGAGGUGAAAUUCGUAGAUAUUCGCAAGAACACCAGUGGCGAAGGCGGGUCUCUGGACAGUUCCUGACGCUGAGGCACGAAGGCCAGGGGAGCAAACAGG
rnacentral:rRNA from 1 species